CCCAAGAGUAGGCCACUGUAAUCUUCAACAUUUGUUACAAUUUGAAGACCAAGAGGAUUAAUAUUUUCUUUUUUUCUCUAUAGAAGUGAUAAAAGGAAGAAAAAUACACCUUCAUUACAUUGUAGAGUUAAGAAACCAUGCCAGUCACAGUGCCUCCAACCAGAGAUCAAAGAAAUCCUCUGCGAAACCCUUCGGUUUACAGAACUCUGUCAAUCAGUCUGUCAAUGUUCCGGAUUAUUAUCCAAGUAGCAAUCCCAAAUUUUGCUGGAUAUAUCAGAUCGUCUCCUGCUCCAUAGAUUAACAGUGUGGCUUCUUCCUGUUUACAAAGAUGAAAAAGUGGAAAAGUGGUGGAUAUUAUUUGGAGAGCCAAAAAAAGGCACUGUUAUUGUAUCAAUAAAAGGAGACCAUAUGUCCACA